CAGCAGCCACGGUAAUACGGAGGGGGCUAGCGUUGUUCGGAAUUACUGGGCGUAAAGCGCACGUAGGCGGCUUGGUAAGUUAGAGGUGAAAGCCCGGAGCUCAACUCCGGAAUUGCCUUUAAGACUGCCGAGCUAGUAGGUGAGAGAGGUAAGUGGAAUUCCGAGUGUAGGGGUGAAAUGCGUAGAUAUAGGAAGGAACACCAGUGGCGAAGGCGACCACCUGGACUAAUACUGACACUGAGGUGCGAAAGCGUGGGGAGCAAACAGGAUUAGAUACCCCAGUAGUCCCUGUCUCUUAUAC
rnacentral:rRNA from 1 species